rnacentral:rRNA from 1 species
AGUGAACGCUGGCGGUAGGCCUAACACAAGCAAGUCGAGCGGCAGCACAGUAAGAGCUUGCUCUUACGGGUGGCGAGUGGCGGACGGGUGAGGAAUACAUCGGAAUCUACUUUUUCGUGGGGGAUAACGUAGGGAAACUUACGCUAAUACCGCAUACGACCUACGGGUGAAAGCAGGGGAUCUUCGGACCUUGCGCGAUUGAAUGAGCCGAUGUCGGAUUAGCUAGUUGGCGGGGUAAAGGCCCACCAAGGCGACGAUCCGUAGCUGGUCUGAGAGGAUGAUCAGCCACACUGGAACUGAGACACGGUCCAGACUCCUACGGGAGGCAGCAGUGGGGAAUAUUGGACAAUGGGCGCAAGCCUGAUCCAGCCAUACCGCGUGGGUGAAGAAGGCCUUCGGGUUGUAAAGCCCUUUUGUUGGGAAAGAAAAGCAGCAGGUUAAUACCCCGCUGUUCUGACGGUACCCAAAGAAUAAGCACCGGCUAACUUCGUG